AGCGGCGCAAGGGUGCGUAACACGUGGGUAAUCUGCCGUGAAGUUUGGGAUAACUUGCUGAAAGGCGAGCUAAUACCGAAUGUGAACGCCGGGAGGCAUCUCCCGGUGUUCAAAGUUGGGGACCGCAAGGCCUGACGCUUCACGAUGAACCCGCGGCCUAUCAGCUAGUUGGUGAGGUAACGGCCCACCAAGGCGAAGACGGGUAGCUGGUCUGAGAGGACGACCAGCCACACUGGAACUGAGACACGGUCCAGACACCUACGGGUGGCAGCAGUCGAGAAUUUUUCACAAUGGGCGCAAGCCUGAUGGAGCGACGCCGCGUGGGGGAUGAAUGGCUUCGGCCCGUAAACCCCUGUCAUUCGCGAUCAACCCUUAUUAUUUAAAAGAUGAUAAGCUGAUAGUAGCGGAAGAGGAAGGGACGGCUAACUCUGUGCCAGCAGCCGCGGUAAUACAGAGGUCCCAAGCGUUGUUCGGAUUCACUGGGCGUA
rnacentral:rRNA from 1 species